UACAGAGGUCCCAAGCGUUGUUCGGAUUCACUGGGCGUAAAGGGUGCGCAGGUGGGUUGGCAAGUUCGAUGUGAAAGCCCCGGGCUUAACCCGGGAAUGGCAUUGGAUACUGCUGAUCUGGAGGAUCGGAGGGGGGACUGGAAUUCUUGGUGUAGCAGUGAAAUGCGUAGAUAUCAAGAGGAACACCAGUGGCGAAGGCGAGUCCCUGGACGAUACCUGACACUGAGGCACGAAAGCGUGGGGAUCAAACAGG
rnacentral:rRNA from 1 species